rnacentral:rRNA from 1 species
UUCUAUGGCCAUACCACCCUGAAUGUGCCUGAUCUUGGAAGCUAAGCAGGGUAGGGCCUGGUUAUACUUGGGUGGAAGAAAUAUUAGUUAAAUUGCCAUGGGAA